UGCGGGUGGCGGAGGGAGAGCAGCACGUCGAGCUCCCGGCGGAACGCGCGGCGGAGGCGCUCGCUGCUGCAGUGCACCUUGACGGCGCCGAGCCGCGAGGAGGAGAGCGAGGCGAGGUACACCGUGCUGAAGCCGCCGCGGCCGACCACCCUGGACGAGAAGCCGCCCGUGGCGGUCUCCACCUCCGCCCACGCCAGCUGCCGCGCGGCGCCGCCGUCCUCCGCCUCGUCCACGCACACGGGCUCGGCCGGCGCCACCCGCGAGCUCGCGCCGCCUUGCUCCCCGCGCUUCCUGAGGUCGCCGCCGCGCCCCCGGCGGGCGCCGGCGAACAGGC
rnacentral:misc_RNA from 1 species